rnacentral:rRNA from 1 species
GUUAAAAGCUCGUAGUUGGAUUUUGGACAUCGUCUGCCGGUCCGCCUUAACGGUGAGUACUGUCGGGUGGAGUCUUCCGGCUGAAGGCUAUCUGUGCUCUUCAUUGGGUGUAGGUAGAAUUCAGCCCAUUUACUUUGAAAAAAUUAGAGUGUUCAAAGCAGGCCUUUGGCUUGAAUACAUUAGCAUGGAAUAACAGAAUAGGACUUUGGUUCUAUUUUGUUGGUUUCUAGGACCGAAGUAAUGAUUAAUAGGGAUAGUUGGGGGCAUUAAUAUUUGAUUGUCAGAGGUGAAAUUCUUUGAUUUAUGAAAGAUUAACUUCUGCGAAAGCAUUUGCCAAGGAUGUUUUCAUUAAUCAAGAACGAAAGUUAGGGGAUCGAAGAUGAUCAGAUACCGUCGUAGUCCUAACCAUAAACUAUGCCGACUAGGGAUCAGUGGAUGUUUUUUUUGACUCCAUUGGCACCUUGUGAGAAAUCAAAGUUUUUGGGUUCCGGGGGGAGUAUGGUCGCAAGGCUGAAACUUAAAGGAAUUGACGGAAGGGCACCACCAGGGAGUGGAGCCCUGCGGCUUAUUUUGACUCAACACGGGGAAAACUCCACCAAGGUCCAGACAUAGUGGAGGAUUGACAGAAUGGAGAGCUCUUUUCUUGAUUCCUAUGGGUGGGUGGGUGCAUGGGCCGUUCCUUAGUUGGGUGGNAAGUGAUUNGNUCUGGGUUAAUUCCGUUAACGAAACGAAGACCUUAACCUGGGCUAAAUUAGUUUACAUUAUUUUCCGAAUGGAUGGAACAA